rnacentral:rRNA from 1 species
CCUACGGGGGGCAGCAGUGAGGAAUAUUGGUCAAUGGGAGAGAUCCUGAACCAGCCAAGCCGCGUGAGGGAAGACGGCCCUAUGGGUUGUCAACCUCUUUUGUCGGAGAACAAAACCCGGGACGAGUCCCGGACUGCGUGUAUCCGAAGAAAAAGCAUCGGCUAACUCCGUGCCAGCAGCCGCGGUAAUACGGAGGAUGAGAGCGUUAUCCGGAUUUUGUGGGUUUAAAGGGUGCGUCGGCGGUCUGUUAAGUCAGCGGUAAAAUUGCGGGGCUAAACCCCGUCGAGCCGUUGAAACUGGCAGACGUGAGUUGGCGAGAAGUACGCGGAAUGCGCGGUGUAGCGGUGAAAUGCAUAGAUAUCGCGCAGAACUCCGAUUGCGAAGGCAGCGUACCGGCGCCAGACUGACGCUGAGGCACGAAAGCGUGGGGAUCGAACAGGAUUAGAUACCCUAGUAGUC